AUCCUUUUGUCGUUCAUAAGCAUGAUGAUUGGGUGUUUAUGUGCAUGUGUGAAAUGUGCCACCCUGAAAAUUUGUUACAAUGUCAGUACAUUACCUAUCUGACA
rnacentral:snoRNA from 1 species